CUCGUAGCUUGCUAUGAGAACAAUUAGUGGCAGACGGGUGAGUAAUGCAUAGGAAUCUACCUAGUAGUAUAGGAUAGCCACUAGAAGUGGUGGGUAAUACUGUAUAAUCCCUGCGGGGGAAAGAUUUAUCGCUACAUGAUGAGCCUAUGUUAGAUUAGCUAGUUGGGGGGGUAAUGGCCUACCAAGGCAGUGAUCUAUAGCUGGUCUGAGAGGAUGAUCAGCCACACUGGAACUGAGACACGGUCCAGACUCCUACGGGAGGCAGCAGUGGGGAAUAUUGGACAAUGGGCGCAAGCCUGAUCCAGCUAUGCCGCGUGAGUGAGGAAGGCCUUAGGGUUGUAAAACUCUUUCAGUGGGGAAGAUAAUGACGGUACCCACAGAAGAAGUCCCGGCAAACUCCGUGCCAGCAGCCGCGGUAAUACGGAGGGGGCAAGCGUUGUUCGGAAUUAUUGGGCGUAAAGGGCAUGUAGGUGGUUUGGUUAGUUAAAGGUGAAAUGCCAGGGCUUAACCCUGGAGCUGCUUUUAAUACUGCCAGACUGGAGUCCGGGAGA
rnacentral:rRNA from 1 species